GAAAGUAAGAAAUAUUCAAAUGGGAAAUUUAAUGGCCAAAGAAAAAAAAUGUUCAGUAUGAACGAUACUUCAACACAGUUAGUCGAUCCUAAGGGUCGGGAAAAGCUUGACAUAUAAUGUGUUUAGUGUAUGCACUGAAAGGAAAUCAGGUUAUAUAAAAUUGGGACGCGGCAAUCGGAAACAAUGGUAGGAGCUUGAAGAUGUUGACAAGAUGCCACGAGAUCUUUUCUGUUUAACACUUUUUCCACCAAAGAAAUAGCUUAGUCGACAGUAAGUUUAGCUAUUUAAAGAGCACCAUUUGUCGUAUGUUGUCUAAUGCGCCUCCCAUGAUCCUUGAAAAUUCGGAGGACCAAGUACCAUCCAUGCUCAUUUGUACUCAUAAUUGCCUUAGACCUCCAAAGUGAACAACCUAUGGUU
rnacentral:rRNA from 1 species